ACGGGAGGCAGCAGUGGGGAAUAUUGCACAAUGGGGGGAACCCUGAUGCAGCGAUGCCGCGUGGAGGAAGAAGGUUUUCGGAUUGUAAACUCCUGUCUUAAGGGACGAUAAUGACGGUACCUUAGGAGGAAGCUCCGGCUAACUACGUGCCAGCAGCCGCGGUAAUACGUAGGGAGCGAGCGUUGUCCGGAAUUACUGGGUGUAAAGGGGGCGUAGGCGGGAUGGCAAGUCAGAUGUGAAAACUAUGGGCUUAACCCAUAGACUGCAUUUGAAACUGUCGUUCUUGAGUGAAGUAGAGGUAAGCGGAAUUCCUGGUGUAGCGGUGAAAUGCGUAGAUAUCAGGAGGAACAUCGGUGGCGAAGGCGGCUUACUGGGCUUUUACUGACGCUGAGGCUCGAAAGCGUGGGGAGCGAACAGGAUUAGAUACCCUGGUA
rnacentral:rRNA from 1 species